AAAGGUUGAGAAUUUUGUAUUGGAAUGAAUGUUUCAUGUUGUUGUAUUGUGGUUGAACUAGGUAUAAACUAAUGAAGGAUUUGAGAUAGUGAAAAGGAAUGGUUGUGGGGAUGUUUUAGUCAGAAUUAGGGUAUUAAUAGACAAAAUUCUAGAGAACUAAAAUUGGAGUGAUAAAUGAUGUUUGUUCUUUGGUUUAGGGUCUUUUAAAAUUGGUAUAGGUUCUUAGAUAGCCAAAAAGAUGAUGUUAAAUUCAGAAGUAGUAAUUGAGUUCAAUUGUAG
rnacentral:lncRNA from 1 species